rnacentral:lncRNA from 1 species
AUGAGCGCGCGGCACCCACCCUCGGUUCUCCCCCGGCGGCAGAGCCUCCCUCCUGCCACGUGCAAUGCGCCUCUUGGGCGCAGGAGCCCGGCCAGGCUGCUGAACAAGAGGAAAUUUGCACGGGAUUACCCCAAACCCUUAAUUAAAAUGGAAAACCAGAAAUAGAGAGCUGUCAUGCACUGAGCUGCCACUUCCCUCGGAUACAAAUGACUUGUCCCUAAUAAGCCUACUGUUAAUCAGCACUGCAUUGAUGUGGGAUGAAAAUAGAUUUAAGUCUGAGAAGAGAGACACCUGGAUGAUACACUUAGAGGAGUAAGUUCAGUGUUCCUUCUAACAGAGCUUGAGAGUUUGAAAAAUGAAGCUGCACU